rnacentral:rRNA from 1 species
AACGAACGCUGGCGGCAUGCCUAACACAUGCAAGUCGAACGAGACCUUCGGGUCUAGUGGCGCACGGGUGCGUAACGCGUGGGAAUCUGCCCUUGGGUUCGGGAUAACAGUUGGAAACGACUGCUAAUACCGGAUGAUGACUUCGGUCCAAAGAUUUAUCGCCCAGGGAUGAGCCCGCGUCGGAUUAGCUAGUUGGUGAGGUAAGAGCUCACCAAGGCGACGAUCCGUAGCUGGUCUGAGAGGAUGACCAGUCACACUGGGAAUGAGACACGGCCCAGACUCCUACGGGAGGAAGCAGUGGGGGAUAGUUGGAAAAUGGCGAAAGACUGAUCCAGCAAUGACGGGUGAAUGAUGAAGGCCUUAGGGUUGUUAAGCUCCUUUACCCGGGAGGAUAAUGACAGUACCGGGGGAAUAAGCCCCGGCUAACUCCGUG